UGAACCCUCGCGCCCGCGUUCCGGGCAGGUUCCUCCACAGUGGUGCGGGGAUCCAGCUGUGAGAUCCGCAGGAGCCCCGAGAGCCGAGAAUGGCUGCCUCGGGGUGGGGGUGGGGGGACGCAGAACUGGUCUGGAGCAAGGCCGGGUCUGGGCACCCCCAGCCCCGACUGUGAGCGACCCUAGCGCCUAGCGCCGUCCUCCGUCCCGGCUCUGGUCUGACUCUGAGCCGGACCGGUGGCCCUGUAUUGCCCCCCACUCCACUCACGGGUUGGGUUCGCUCCUGUCAGCGUAUGGGACCAGUCGCUCUGGCCCGUGUCCCCAUGUCCUUCAGGCCUGGCCAAUCCCGCCCCGCCCUCACCAGGAACCUGACACCCACUCCCAAAUUUGGGUUGAGAAAACAGAUGUGGGGCGGCAACCAGAAUCCCCUUCCCUCUGUGGUGGGAAUCAAGAGUGGGGAGGUCCGGUUUCUGCAAGCUGAGAUUGCUCAGAGAAGGGGAAGAUGCAGCGCAGACCCGCGGUCACUUUGUCACCCUGUGUGCAUUCCUUGGUUGGUACUUUCUGCUGUAGAGCUGGGACAAGGGUGUGAAGGAAGAAGCUUGUUUAUUGUUUUAAGGUGCACAGCCCAGGGGUUCCCUCCCACCAUUCUAGGGCUGUGGGGAGAGGUCAGCCUCCUCAACCCGUCUCACUCCAGGGCUCAGCCCAGUUCCCAGAGUCCCUUGCUCUUUGCCCUUCCCUCCAAGGUCCUGCCGUGGAGGCUUCAGGAGAGAUCCAUGCAGCUGGUGGCUGUGGAGAGUCAGGACGAGGGGUGGAGGCUGCUCAGCUGCCCCUUCUGCUGGAAGUAAAACUGGAACCGAGACUGGGCGUACUCCUGCGGGGGGGAACCCACCCCACAGACCUGUGAGAAGGGUUGGGACUAGCACAACCCGCCCCCACCAAGUCUGCCCACAGACUUCCUGGAAAGCAUGAGGCCCCUGAUGCCCCCCUUCCUCCCACCUAACCUGCCCACCUGGGUUACUCACCAGGUAACCAAAUUCUAUGGUGGACAUAGAUGCCUGGAGGAUAGACCAGAGACCCCAAAAGAAAUGGGAUGCCAGAGCAUACCUAAGGGGAGCAGGAGAAACAGGGGUUCAGAGCAUACUUGGUAUUACCUGGAUUCCAUCCCUGAGGUUGGCCAAGCCCCAGAACUCCAGCUUCUCCCCCAUCGCCCUAACCCCAACCCCGUCCUGACUCUCACCACUCUCUAUCAGCCUCGUCUAUACUCUCUGCCCCCACCUGGCACUGGCACCUUACCUGCAGUCCCAUGAGUUGGCCUGCCCGCCCCCUUCGUCAGCCCCCUUUCCUCUGCACCCUGCUCUACCCCUGCCCCCACCCAUCUUUCCUCACCGAUUAGCUUCUACCAGCAAAUCUUCUUCCAGUUUCCUCUGCUCCUCUUGGGAGAUGGUCUCACCUUUCUUGACCUCUGCCAGGUAAUGGCGAAUAAAAUGGAGCUGAGAUCAACA